rnacentral:rRNA from 1 species
CCUACGGGUGGCAGCAGUGAGGAAUAUUGGUCAAUGGGCGCAAGCCUGAACCAGCCAAGUCGCGUGAGGGAAGACGGCCCUACGGGUUGUAAACCUCUUUUGCCGGGGAGCAAGCCUGAGCACGUGUGCCCAGGCGGAGAGUACCCGGAGAAAAAGCAUCGGCUAACUCCGUGGCAGCAGCCGCGGUAAUACGGAGGAUGGGAGCGUUAUCCGGAUUUAUUGGGUGUAAAGGGCGUGUAGGCGGGACUGCAAGUCAGAUGUGAAAACCACGGGCUCAACCUGUGGCCUGCAUUUGAAACUGUAGUUCUUGAGUACUGGAGAGGCAGACGGAAUUCCUAGUGUAGCGGUGAAAUGCGUAGAUAUUAGGAGGAACACCAGUGGCGAAGGCGGUCUGCUGGACAGCAACUGACGCUGAGGCGCGAAAGCGUGGGGAGCAAACAGGAUUAGAUACCCUAGUAGUC